rnacentral:lncRNA from 1 species
AAAAUAGGACAAUGAGGUUAUCUAACGUUCUAUAAUGAGAACCCCAACGAGUAUCACCUGGUCGUUGAAUCCCACGUUCUUGAUUUAGUCCACGUCCAGUAUGCACUUCACCUGAUAUGAGCAACUCCUCUAAUUUUUCAACUUGAUAUUGUCGAAGCAAAUCUCUGCGCUUAAAAGAUGAUCCAACAAUAUUUAACACAUUAGUAACUAUACAGAAAAAGUCAUCUAUAUCUGAAUGCUUCUUUGCAAGAGCCACAAGUGUUAAUUGCAAUUGGUGAGCAAAACAAUGAAUGCAAUACGCCGAUGGAGUUUCAUUCAGAAUCAAAGUUUUAAGAC